CCUCAUUGUUCUUAUAUCUUGUCACUUAAUCUCAGUCUCUUCAAAUCCGAUAGGCACUUGGUCUAUUUACCAGGCAAAAUUAAACUGUAUCCAAAGUGAUUGGAGCAGUUUACAUCCCACCAGCAGGCUGGGAGCCUGGAGUUCCUAUUCUCGCCUGGUGCUAUUGCCAGACCUUUAAAAGUGUACUUACCUGAGAAAGGGCAAAUAGUGUUUCACUGUGGUUUUAAUUUCUGUUUCCUGGGUUACUAAACACGUUAAGGUU
rnacentral:lncRNA from 1 species